GAGGGAGAACAAUCCAGUCAGCGCCGGACAGAAACGCUGACUCCGCUCUCCGCGAGGCUUUCCCUGACACGAUUGACGUGACCCUAAAUCUCGACAAACCACUCGUGGCGGGGAACUCAACAACGGGGAGGGGCUGGGUGACUCACGGUGGGACCGAUGAGUCACGGUGAGGCAUCCGGCUUUCUUCGCGCAUUCCCGACUGGCAGUGUUCAUUCAUAAAAAUAAGUUGCGGCGUAGCUACGACUCAUUGCUCCUCGUGACUAAUGCGAUCCAGACGUCGCUCCGAAAAUAUACACACACACACACAACGACUCGUGCGAGUAUCGCACUUUUACUACAAAACCGCAAUCCUCCUCGUCGGAACAGCAUGUCAACUUGUACACAGACGCCGCUAACAGAAAUGCUAGAGUGGUGGUUUGGUUUAUCUUAAAGGUCAAGUGUCAUCCCUAUAAACAUUCUAAAAUAGAUAUUGUAAUGAAAAAUACAUAUAACAUUAUUCACUUCAAUGUCCGUACGAAAAAAUAAUUAUGUGCAGACAGCGCCUCAUCCACGCGUAAAGUUGCGGAAGUGAUCACCAAACUGGCUGCAUCUCCUGUCCGUGACAUCACCAAGGACAUUCGCCAUUGAAAACUACUGUGGGAGACAAACACGCCCCUUCUGACACGGAAGAGAACAUCACACAAGUGGCAGCAGAAUCUCUGCAAAGCGGUAUGGACAAGGGGCACUGGGUUCAUUGGCUAUUAUCUGCAGGCCAAAUGGAACCGCACAGAGGGCACUCCAGUUCGCUGGCCACCUGGACCAAGGGCUCAGAGACAGCUGGUGGAAGCGAGCGCGGACGGGGCGCUGCCAUUUUCGCGAGUCACGUGACCUACGUGCGCGGAUGUGACGUGUACCGUGUCGCAACAAUGGCUCGAUUCCAUUUGUGCCCGGCGCCGACUUCUAGGAUUUAUCCUCAUCUGAUGAAGAAAUAGAAAUAUCAGUUGAUUGGGAAGACGGAGAAAUACUUCCAUACGGAUUUGAACCAGUGGCUGGAAUUAAUGUUGAAUAUUCGGAUGGUUCUUCGGGCGGAAUGACGAGCCAGGCCGCGAGCCGAGCUUCGGCGUCCGGGGCUAACGGCCUCCGCCGCCUGGUAGCUCGGCUCGCUGCCCGCCGCCGCAGCUCUCUCGUCAGACUCCGCCGAUCCCCUGCCAACGUUGUUGAACGCACCUGUGCAUUUUAUUUAUUUUUAAGAAUGGAGCAAACUGCUGCUUUGGCCAAUACAAAUUUCUGUAUCACACAUUUGUAACGUCGUUCUUUCCCAGCUUAAUGGUGAUAUUAUUCACGAUCAUUUCGAGCCUGAACUUCAUUGCGGUAGUUUCCUCAAAAUAAAUGCCAACUUGGCGGCACGGUGGCGCAUCUGGUUGGCCGGGGUUCAAAUCCUGCCUCCGCCCUGUGUGGAGUUUGCAUGUUCUUCCCGUGCUUGUGUGGGUUUUCUUCAGGCACUCCGGUUUCCUCACACAUCCCAAAAACAUGCAACAUUAAUUGGACACUCUAAAUUGCCCGUAGGUGUGACUGUGAGUACAACUGUUUGUCUCUGGCUGGCAACCGGUUCAGGGUGUAGCCGGCCUCCUGUCCAAUGACUGCUGGAUAGGCUCCAGCACUCCCAAGACCCUCGUGAGGAUGAGCGGCUAAGAAAAUGAAUGGAUGGAUGGAUGGAUGAUAAAUGCCAACCUAAAACUGGGUACCAUCGCUCGACUUUUAUCUUACGUAAUAUGUAUUGAGGCGGCACGGUGGAACAGCUGGUAAAGCGUUGGCCUCACAGUUCUGAUGACCCGAGUUCGAUCCCGGGCCCGACUGUGUGGAGUUUGCAUGUUCUCCCAUGCCUUCAUGGGUUUUCUCCGGGAACUCCG